UACGUAGGGCGCGAGCGUUGUCCGGAAUUAUUGGGCGUAAAGAGCUCGUAGGCGGCCAGUUGCGUCCGCUGUGAAAACCCGGGGCUCAACCCCGGGCUUGCAGUGGAUACGGGCUGGCUAGAGGCAGGCAGGGGAGAACGGAAUUCCCGGUGUAGCGGUGAAAUGCGCAGAUAUCGGGAGGAACACCGGUGGCGAAGGCGGUUCUCUGGGCCUGUACUGACGCUGAGGAGCGAAAGCGUGGGGAGCGAACAGG
rnacentral:rRNA from 1 species